UUAAUCUUUAAAUUUCAGAUUUUUUUUUAAACGCAAAUUCUCAAAAUUUGGACCUUAAAAAUGUUUCUGAUAUUUGUUUUUUCUUGAAAAUUUAUGAGAAUAAUCUCAAAAUUUCUGAGUUUUUGGUGGAAAUUUGCUCCUUUUUCCCAGCUACUGCGCUGUUGUAGAAAACACCUGAGGAGGAAAAAACUCCCCACGUCGUUAUAUUCUUAGUGGAAAUGCCAGAACUCUGCUCCCGUCGCUCAUCGGGUCGCAGCUCGAUAUUAUAAAUGUUUUUCUUUUUCUGCUUUUAUUCAGUUCGUGCUCGCUCGUGUUUUUGUCUCCAUAUUCGUGUUUGCUUUCUGACAUUUCUUCACGUUUCUUCGUUCGUCUUCCCACAGAGUUUAUUUUUAGAAACCCACCAGGACGUUUUUGUUUUGUUGUUUCUUUAUUUUCGCCUUCAUCAUUCCAAACGGUUCAGGAACCUUUCCAACUGAAUCUUGUGACAUUUAUAAAAACCAGGCUGACAUAAGGAGAUGAAGUCGUGGCGUUCGGAGCAGGAGGCUGGAGUUGAUCUUUGUUUUGAUGCUGCAGUGGCAUAAUGAGGUUUCCCUCCUGCUGCUUUGGUGACUCCUAGUUAGCGAGGAAACUGAAGAGUAAAAACUAAAACAGGCCACCCGGUUUCACCCAGCUGUCAAACUUGGAG